CCCUGGUUAGCUCAGUUGGUAGAGCACUCCACCUGUAGUGGAGAGGUCCCGGGUUCGAUACCCGAACCAGGCG
rfam:Ixodes scapularis strain Wikel colony gcontig_1108379741196, whole genome shotgun sequence.